GCCCUCGGUGGCUCAGAUGGAUAGAGCGUCUGCCAUGUAAGCAGGAGAUCCUGGGUUCGAGUCCCAGUCGGGGCA
rnacentral:tRNA from 1 species